rnacentral:lncRNA from 1 species
AUUCAGUGGUGGAUCCAGAGGGUAUUUUGGGGGAUUUGAACCCCCUCCAUUUUUGAUGAUCAAUGCUUUUGAAUGGAAACAUAUGGUUGGAAUCCCCCCUUUUAAAAUGACUGGAUCUGCCCCUGAAAAAAAUAUUGGUUGUAGCUUUAUUUUAUAGACUUUAUUUUGUAAUAACAAAGUAAAUAUAAUUACAUCAUAUAACAAUACUGUAAGCAA